rnacentral:rRNA from 1 species
UGCGUAGGCGGGAGCCUAAGUCUGUGGUGAAAUCUUGCCGCUUAACGGUAAAAUUGCCAUGGAUACUGGGUUUCUUGAGUACAGAAGAGGUCGGUGGGAAUUCGUAGUGUAGCGGUGAAAUGCAUAGAUAUUACGAAGAACAUCAGUGGCGAAGGCGGCCGGCUGGACUGUAACUGACGCUGAGGCACGAAAGCGUGGGGAGCGAACA